GACGAACGCUGGCGGCGUGCCUAAUACAUGCAAGUUGAGCGCUGAAGGUUGGUACUUGUACCGACUGGAUGAGCAGCGAACGGGUGAGUAACGCGUGGGGAAUCUGCCUUUGAGCGGGGGACAACAUUUGGAAACGAAUGCUAAUACCGCAUAACAACUUUAAACACAAGUUUUAAGUUUGAAAGAUGCAAUUGCAUCACUCAAAGAUGAUCCCGCGUUGUAUUAGCUAGUUGGUGAGGUAAAGGCUCACCAAGGCGAGGAUACAUAGCCGACCUGAGAGGCGGAUCGGCCACAUUGGGACUGGGACACGGCCCAAACGCCUACGGGAGGCAGCAGUAGGGAAUCGUCGGCAAUGGACGAAAGUCUGACCGAGCAACGCCGCGUGAGUGAAGAAGGGUUUCGGAGCGUAAAACUCUGUUGGUAGAGAAGAACGGUGGUGAGAGUGGAAAGCUCAUCAAGUGACGGUAACUACACAGAAAGGGACGGCUAACUACGUG
rnacentral:rRNA from 1 species